rnacentral:sRNA from 1 species
ACAACAAAAUGAUGGGAUCAAUUGGAAUAUAAGCACAGGGGCAUGCAUCAAAUUCCAAACUCAACGCUGCUGCGACUUGUCGACUUGACUAUGCUACAAUCCCUGACCAGGCCCAGUCAUGGCUGCUGCUCAAUCUGAAUAAUUAAUGCAGUUUUGCUCCUUUCGUAGAUUCGGUCGUUUUCUGUCUCUCACUCUCACUACAGUAAACUAAAACCAACUGAUUCUGUUCCUAGUGCAAACGGCAAACGGCAAAACUAAUUUAUGGCAUUAAAAAUGCAUAUUUUCUAGCAGUGCGUUGCCUGUUUUUAUCAUUUGCCAACUGCCAGAGAAAGGCAACCACC